GACGAACGCUGGCGGCGUGCCUAAUACAUGCAAGUAGAACGCACAGUUUAUACCGUAGCUUGCUACACCAUAGACUGUGAGUUGCGAACGGGUGAGUAACGCGUAGGUAACCUGCCUGGUAGCGGGGGAUAACUAUUGGAAACGAUAGCUAAUACCGCAUAAUAUUAAUUAUUGCAUGAUAAUUAAUUGAAAGGUGCAAUUGCACCACUACCAGAUGGACCUGCGUUGUAUUAGCUAGUAGGUGAGGUAACGGCUCACCUAGGCGACGAUACAUAGCCGACCUGAGAGGGUGAUCGGCCACACUGGGACUGAGACACGGCCCAGACUCCUACGGGAGGAAGCAGUAGGGAAUCUUCGGCAAUGGACGAAAGUCUGACCGAGCAACGCCGCGUGAGUGAAGAAGGUUUUCGGAUCGUAAAGCUCUGUUGUAAGAGAAGAACGGGUGUGAGAGUGGAAAGUUCACACUGUGACGGUAUCUUACCAGAAAGGGACGGCUAACUACGUG
rnacentral:rRNA from 1 species